rnacentral:rRNA from 1 species
AGUGAACGCUGGCGGUAGGCCUAACACAUGCAAGUCGAACGGCAGCACAGUAAGAGCUUGCUCUUACGGGUGGCGAGUGGCGGACGGGUGAGGAAUACAUCGGAAUCUACUUUUUCGUGGGGGAUAACGUAGGGAAACUUACGCUAAUACCGCAUACGACCUACGGGUGAAAGCAGGGGAUCUUCGGACCUUGCGCGAUUGAAUGAGCCGAUGUCGGAUUAGCUAGUUGGCGGGGUAAAGGACCACCAAGGCGACGAUCCGUAGCUGGUCUGAGAGGAUGAUCAGCCACACUGGAACUGAGACACGGUCCAGACUCCUACGGGAGGCAGCAGUGGGGAAUAUUGGGCAAUGGGCGCAAGCCUGAUCCAGCCAUACCGCGUGGGUGAAGAAGGCCUUCGGGUUGUAAAGCCCUUUUGUUGGGAAAGAAAAGCAGCAGAUUAAUACCCCGCUGUUCUGACGGUACCCAAAGAAUAAGCACCGGCUAACUUCGUG